GGUUGUAGCUCAGUGGUAGAGUGCUUGCUUAGCACACAUGAGGUCCUGGGUUUGAUCCUCAGAACCA
rnacentral:tRNA from 1 species